UAGUGAGUGCUACUGAAGCUUAGGUUGUAA
rnacentral:piRNA from 1 species